rnacentral:rRNA from 1 species
ACACUCCUACGGGAGGCAGCAGUGGGGAAUUUUGGACAAUGGGCGAAAGCCUGAUCCAGCAAUGCCGCGUGUGUGAAGAAGGCCUUCGGGUUGUAAAGCACUUUUGUCCGGAAAGAAAUCCUUGGCUCUAAUACAGUCGGGGGAUGACGGUACCGGAAGAAUAAGCACCGGCUAACUACGUGCCAGCAGCCGCGGUAAUACGUAGGGUGCGAGCGUUAAUCGGAAUUACUGGGCGUAAAGCGUGCGCAGGCGGUUUGCUAAGACCGAUGUGAAAUCCCCGGGCUCAACCUGGGAACUGCAUUGGUGACUGGCAGGCUAGAGUAUGGCAGAGGAGGGUAGAAUUCCACGUGUAGCAGUGAAAUGCGUAGAGAUGUGGAGGAAUACCGAUGGCGAAGGCAGCCCCCUGGGCCAAUACUGACGCUCAUGCACGAAAGCGUGGGGAGCAAACAGGAUUAGAAACCCCAGUAGUCCCAUG